CUGCCGCUCUUUCGCGCUCGAUUGCUCGAUCCCAUGGCAGCGGCGGCGAUCGAUAUCUUCAUCCCCAUCCUCCGCUUCCUCCUCUGCUUCAUGGUCACGAUUCCCGCUAUCCUCUCGUGGCGGGUGGUCCCCGUGGCGGUCCCGCGUCACCUCUACCCUGCCUUCUCGGAGGCGGACCUCUCCUUCGGCGCCUCCCUCAACCUCCACUUUAUCAUCCCCGUGGGCACGGCCUACGCCGCCGUGCUCCUCCUCCACCGCUACGCCGGAGUCAUCACCUUCUUCACUGGCUUCGAUUAUCUCAUCGGAUGAUUCGUGCUCCUUCCAUUAAUAGCCCAUUGCCAUCACCUCUUCGUUCAAGCUGCAAUCGGUACCACAUUUCCCACUUUCUUGGUUCGAUGAGCUGAUAUACUAGGAAUGGGGUUUCUGGCAAAGGCUGCUGUUUUAUGGAUACAUGUCUGGAUUUACUGCCCGUAUGAAGUACUAAUUUAUCUGGUCAAUCUCAGAAGCUUCUAUUAUCAUAUCUGGUUUGGGUUUUAGUGACUGGUCAGAUUCCUCUCCUCUAAACCCACUAUGGGACCGUGCAAAAAAUGUUGAUAUUGUUUGUAGAGUUUGCUUCUAGUGCAGUUCAACUGCCUCUUGUAUGGAACACACAAGGCGGCACUUGGCUACGACACUUUUCACAAGUUUGUACUGAUAAAUCUGCCGGGAAAGUAAGAUGGUUUGUGAGGCAGACCAUGUAAUCCGAGAGGCCAUGUCGUUCCAGAUGUAGAUGAAAAACUCGUUGAGAAAGGGAAGAAACCUGGAUUCUUUCAGUUGCCGGCUACGCAGACCGACAGCGCUGUUUGGCAUGUAAGUCAUAAAUGAGCCUUUGUUGGUACUAGUAUGAAUGUUGUAAUGAGGUGUUUCAGCUGGCAAUUAUACCAGGUUUUGGAAUGCAAGUUUUAUCCUUGAUUUCUAGGUAAGGUUGCAAGCAAGUAUUAUCCUAAUAAGGAUUUUUAGUGUUUCUCCAUGGGCCGACUUCUAAUAAUUUUAAGAUAUUUGUCUAUGAUAUCUUGAACUUUACUUGUAUAUUGCAACAUAACCUAUAAAUCCAUCAAAGCCCAGGUAGGCAGUUAUUGUGGUAUCUUUCUGCAUAUAGAUCCAUGAGUUUUUGUUUUUAGUUCAAUAAAGAGCUACUUUUUUAUGUCAGUAUAAAAAGUACAUAGGACUGCAGAUGAUCUAAUUAAGCUUUUCGUUUUCUUUUUCUGGGAGAAACUUAAAAAUUAACUUUAUCAAUCUAAUCUGGAGGACUACUGUGGCAGAAAAGGUUUAUGGCUUAUGCACAUAAUUCCUCUCAGUACUAAUAAUUUCUCUUUAUGCCUGCACCCUGGCUGUAUUAUAUUCUUUGCUCAA